CACGGGGGGAGCAAGCGUUGUUCGGAAUCACUGGGCGUAAAGGGCGUGUAGGCGGUCAGGUAAGUGGAAUGUGAAAUGCUCCGGCUCACCCGGAGUACUGCAUCCCAAACUGCCUGGCUUGAGUAUGGGAGAGGUGAGUGGAAUUCCCGGUGCAGCGGUGAAAUGCGUAGAUAUCGGGAGGAACACCUGUGGCGAAAGCGGCUCACUGGGCCACAACUGACGCUGAGGCGCGAAAGCUAGGGGAGCAAAC
rnacentral:rRNA from 1 species